rnacentral:rRNA from 1 species
GUCGGGAAUUUUGGGCAAUGGGCGAAAGCCUGACCCAGCAACGCCGCGUGAGGGAUGAAGUAUUUCGGUAUGUAAACCUCGAAAGAAUGGGAAGAAUAAAUGACGGUACCAUUUAUAAGCUCCGGCUAACUACGUGCCAGCAGCCGCGGUAAUACGUAGGGAGCAAGCGUUGUUCGGACUUACUGGGCGUAAAGGGCGCGUAGGCGGCGCGGUAAGUCACUUGUGAAAUCUCUGAGCUUAACUCAGAACGGCCAAGUGAUACUGCUGUGCUAGAGUGCGGAAGAGGCAACCGGAAUUCUUGGUGUAGCGGUGAAAUGCGUAGAUAUCAAGAGGAACACCUGAGGCGAAGGCGGGUUGCUGGGCCGACACUGACGCUGAUGCGCGAAAGCCAGGGGAGCAAACG